rnacentral:rRNA from 1 species
GGAGAAAAGCAGGGGAUCGCAAGACCUUGCGCUUUAGGAGCGGCCGAUGUCGGAUUAGCUAGUUGGUGGGGUAAAGGCUCACCAAGGCGACGAUCCGUAGCGGGUCUGAGAGGAUGAUCCGCCACACUGGGACUGAGACACGGCCCAGACUCCUACGGGAGGCAGCAGUGGGGAAUUUUGGACAAUGGGCGAAAGCCUGAUCCAGCCAUGCCGCGUGAGUGAAGAAGGCCUUCGGGUUGUAAAGCUCUUUCGGCGGGGAAGAAAUCGCAUUCUCUAAUACAGGAUGUGGAUGACGGUACCCGAAUAAGAAGCACCGGCUAACUACGUGCCAGCAGCCGCGGUAAUACGUAGGGUGCGAGCGUUAAUCGGAAUUACUGGGCGUAAAGCGUGCGCAGGCGGUUUCGUAAGACAGACGUGAAAUCCCCGGGCUCAACCUGGGAACUGCGUUUGUGACUGCGAGGCUAGAGUUUGGCAGAGGGGGGUGGAAUUCCACGUGUAGCAGUGAAAUGCGUAGAGAUGUGGAGGAACACCGAUGGCGAAGGCAGCCCCCUGGGCCAAUACUGACGCUCAUGCACGAAAGCGUGGGGAGCAAACAGGAUUAGAUACCCUGGUAGUCCACGCCCUAAACGAUGUCAACUAGGUGUUGGGAGGGUUAAACCUCUUAGUGCCGUAGCUAACGCGUGAAGUUGACCGCCUGGGGAGUACGGCCGCAAGGCUAAAACUCAAAGGAAUUGACGGGGACCCGCACAAGCGGUGGAUGAUGUGGAUUAAUUCGAUGCAACGCGAAAAACCUUACCCACCUUUGACAUGUACGGAAUUUACCAGAGAUGGUUUAGUGCUCGAAAGAGAACCGUAACACAGGUGCUGCAUGGCUGUCGUCAGCUCGUGUCGUGGGAUGUUGGGUUAAGUCCCGCAACGAGCGCAACCCUCGUCAUUAGUUGCUACAUUUAGUUGGGCACUCUAAUGAGACUGCCGGUGACAAACCGGAGGAAGGUGGGGAUGACGUCAAGUCCUCAUGGCCCUUAUAGGUGGGGCUGCACACGUCAUACAAUGGCUGGUACAAAGGGUUGCCAACCCGCGAGGGGGAGCUAAUCCCAUAAAACCAGUCGUAGUCCGGAUCGGAGUC